rnacentral:rRNA from 1 species
UACGUAGGGUGCGAGCGUUGUCCGGAAUUAUUGGGCGUAAAGGGCUCGUAGGCGGUCUGUUGCGUCGGGAGUGAAAACUCAGGGCUUAACCCUGAGCCUGCUUCCGAUACGGGCAGACUAGAGGUAUGCAGGGGAGAACGGAAUUCCUGGUGUAGCGGUGAAAAUGCGCAGAUAUCAGGAGGAACACCGGUGGCGAAGGCGGUUCUCUGGGCAUUACCUGACGCUGAGGAGCGAAAGUGUGGGGGAGCAAAACAGG